rnacentral:ncRNA from 1 species
UUGACUGGGACGGUAAGUCUGUCAAACGGCAACGUAGGUGUUCCAGGGCGAGCUCAGCGUGUACGGAAACCACAUGUGGAACAAAAGGGGCAAACACUAGCUCGAUCUCGAUUUUCAGUAUGCACACACACACACACACACACACACACACACACACAGUUUAUUUGAGUAAUUUUUAUUGAACUUCUAUUUCAGAAAAU